GUGAUAUAUAUAAGGUUACUUCAUCGAACACGGGACGAGCAGUGCAAACGGAUCUUAAUCGGAUCGCUGAAACUGCAGAUACCUCUACACAUACGGGUUUGAGAUAUGUUUUGAGAGAUACAGCAGUAGCUCUAUUUCGGCAACCUGAUUAUUGCAUUUCCAGUUACUCAUGUGUGGUUAUACCAAAGUUCUCUAGAGCAGCGGCUCAGCAAUGCUUUGAUCAACUUGUGUUCAGAGAGAGGGUUAGAUAUGAUGAAGAGACCAUUGUCAAUGUGGACAAUAUAUAUAAAAACUCAAAGCACAACAAGUAGAGAUCGACUAAUGAAUCUCACAAUGACAAUGUAGAGGUUACAAUAUUACUUGCUGCUGUUGGGAAGUCUAAAGUUGGCCACUAUCAUUGACAGCAGUGACUUGAAGAAAGUGAUGGAAGAGCUUGCAUCCAUUGAUCCCAGCAGACUAGGACUAUUAGGAGUAGAGGUACUGCAUGUGGACACCUCAGUUCUCUUCAAAUGCGGCAAGCAAUUGAAUUUAAUCACCUGAUUCUCAGGUGCCCAUUUUCCUAAGGCAUGUUGAUGUCAUUGCAGCCCGACCCCCAAUUGGCAACCAGCCAAUCCAGGAAAUCUCAAGCUGUUCGCACUGGUGGUUCUGCUUGAGUGGCAAUUAGACCUGCGAAUUGAAGAGUUCCUGACUUUCUUGUUAUUUCGUAUUAUGAGAAAGACAAAAAAUUCUUACUAUAUAGUUUGAGAUGUUAUGCAGACAAUUUUUGG